CGCCCCGGUCUGCGCUGGGUCCUAGAGCCGGGACAAUUCGAUUCAGUCCGCGGUUUAAUUCAAAUCUUUUAGACAGGAUUCAGUGAAACCCAAAAAAACCAAACAAGUAACCUAACCCUAACUCAAAGCAAGAGACUCUGCUUAAGAUGUCAGUCACCUCUACAGGCUACAUGUGGACUUGUGGUCCCAAGCUGUGCUCAGAAGUCUCCUCUCUUAUUACAAUGUCAUCCCUCGUUUGGAGUGCUGUGACAAAGGCCCCUUUCACAGGCGCUGCGCGUCUCCUGAGUUCGAUUAGCUUGGAAUUCCACUGUUCCGGAUGGGAGGUUCCAGAGGCCUUGAGGCAGAUGGGAGGCCAACGACGAAACAAGGUUCUCUCUCCUUCGCAGAACUGCACCAAUGACAGAGUCAAGGAUCUGGUCCAGAAGUCUCUGCAAAACAAGAAAAAACAGCAAUGGUUUCGAUGACUUACUACCCACCCCCACCCCCCAAAAAAAGACAGAACAAAAACAAAUCUAUCUGCACUCGGACCUCCCUUCGCUCAAUCUUGAGAGCAGCUCUGCAGCACACAGGCGCGACACCUGCUGCUAAAUUGGCUUUCACUUCAAUCAGCCCCGCUCCUGAGGUGGUUAAGCUCGGUUAGGGGGAAUAAUUCUAACUUGCUAUCUGACCAAACACCCUGCUAUGCAAUCACCCUCCUCUUACAGUACCACCAAACAGCUGGAAUCUCAUUUCAGCCAGCGUUCAUAACCCCCCCCCCCCCCCCCCCCCCACUUUCAGACCCUACUAUGAAUCUUUUCUUUGUGCGUUUUGGAGACCCUUUCGGCCGAGAAAAUGAGACCGUGUUUAUCAGGGAGCAGCACGCUCCUUUACUCCCGAUCUCACUCUGGUUGAGUCUGGCUAAUAGUUUCAUUUGAGAGGUGUCAAGGUCACACUGGCAUCUCAACAGUCGUGCCUGCUCCAUUUCCCCGAGGAAUGAAACAUUCUUUUUCAGAGCCAUGGCUGCUGUCAUUAAACCAGUCAGUGUAAAUGUACUGUAGAUGUGCUGUUUCCUUGUAAAUUAAAGUUGUUGAAAAAAUAAUGCAAAACCCUUUUUUUUCAGAGGAUACAUCUAUCACAAUGUCCUAGUUCACACUAAACACUGGCAAAUGAGAGCGAGGCCAAUCGUCUUUAGAUUAUCUUGAAAAAUGUGUGAGUAAAAACACACACACAAACGCUAACACGCCACCGGAAGUUCCUAUUGCUGUGUUAUUAUCUGUGAAACAUCUCUUCACAUUUCCUACUUGUCAUCUGACAGUGAAUUCAUUGUUGUGUUGGGUUACAAUGAGAGAGUGAGUGAAGGCUCGCCCACUGGUGAAACUGAAAGGAUCCAACACGGCCUGCCCUAAAUAUAUCAUGUAUUCACCAAAUGUUGCCCGUUGAAGCAGAUUCUGGGCAACAUGUUAGCAGGGCCUAAAAUAAACGAUUUAAUAAGUGAGCUUUGCUUCCCUAAGCCAAAAUUACACACAGGCCCACAGAGUGAAAUGGGCUUAAAUGUGAUGCAGUAAAGGUUUAGUUGUGACAUGAAUUAUAAGAAGCUUUAGUAUUUUUUCUGAUUCUGGUUUUGAAGAAAGCUCCAGAAACUGAAAAGUAAAUGAUGUCAGGAAAGUGAAACAGACCCAAAUAUUGAUUGCACAUUUAAUUUGGCGACAGUCCAGUGUUAUGAAUGACAGAGGACCCAGAUUUGACAGUCAAACAGUGACCUCUGCUGGACGACAAUCAAACUAUGUUUCAUAACUAUGAACGGUGCUUUGAUAGCUUUUGAUGGUUCACUUGCUCACAUUAAGUUAAAUAAUCAAAAUAAUGUUAAUAAAUAUGUUUUCUGGUCCUGUUUAUUUAGUUUUCUGUUACGUGUCUGUCUUGUAACCUCAUGUUGUAAAGAAGUGUUCCCCCCCAAAAAAAUACUUUAUUGUUGCCAUAACAUAUACUGUACUAUACUGUACAUAAUUAGGCAACAAGUUUUCAGCCUGGUUUAGUGAAAAGUGUAUAUUCAUAUUGUCUGUGUUCUGUGUAAAGGUUAACUGUAAUAUCAUGUGUCAACAGUGAAAAGCAAGAAAGAAAAAUUUAAAUAAAAAGUUUAACCCAUCUGUCCUCCUCCUGGGUGAU